UUAAGUGAAUAAGGGCGCACGGUGGAUGCCUUGGCACUAGGAGCCGAUGAAGGACGGGACUAACACCGAUAUGCUUUGGGGAGCUGUAAGUAAGCUAUGAUCCAGAGAUUUCCGAAUGGGGGAACCCAAUAUCUUUUAUAGGAUAUUACUUUUCAGUGAAUACAUAGCUGAUUAGAGGUAGACGCAGAGAACUGAAACAUCUUAGUAUCUGCAGGAAGAGAAAGAAAAUUCGAUUCCCUGAGUAGCGGCGAGCGAAACGGGAAGAGCCCAAACCAACAAGCUUGCUUGUUGGGGUUGUAGGACUCCGAUAUGGUAGUCUGUUAGUAUAGUUGAAGGAUUUGGAAAAUUCCGCUAAAGAGGGUGAAAGCCCCGUAGACGAAAUGCUAACAACACCUAGGAGGAUCCUGAGUACGGCGGAACACGAGAAAUUCCGUCGGAAUCCGCGGGGACCAUCCCGCAAGGCUAAAUACUCCCUAGUGACCGAUAGUGAACCAGUACCGUGAGGGAAAGGUGAAAAGCACCCCGGAAGGGGAGUGAAAUAGAUCCUGAAACCGUGUGCCUACAACAAGUCAAAGCUCGUUAAUGAGUGAUGGCGUGCCUUUUGUAGAAUGAACCGGCGAGUUACGAUUGCAUGCGAGGUUAAGUCGAAGAGACGGAGCCGCAGCGAAAGCGAGUCUGAAUAGGGCGAAUGAGUAUGUAGUCGUAGACCCGAAACCAUGUGAUCUACCCAUGUCCAGGUUGAAGGUGCGGUAAAACGCACUGGAGGACCGAACCCACGUACGUUGAAAAGUGCGGGGAUGAGGUGUGGGUAGCGGAGAAAUUCCAAACGAACUUGGAGAUAGCUGGUUCUCUCCGAAAUAGCUUUAGGGCUAGCCUCGGAAUUGAGAAUGAUGGAGGUAGAGCACUGUUUGGACUAGGGGCCCAUCUCGGGUUACCGAAUUCAGAUAAACUCCGAAUGCCAUUCAUUUAUAUCCGGGAGUCAGACUGCGAGUGAUAAGAUCCGUAGUCGAAAGGGAAACAGCCCAGACCACCAGCUAAGGUCCCAAAAUAUAUGUUAAGUGGAAAAGGAUGUGGGGUUGCACAGACAACUAGGAUGUUGGCUUAGAAGCAGCCACCAUUUAAAGAGUGCGUAAUAGCUCACUAGUCGAGUGACCCUGCGCCGAAAAUGUACCGGGGCUAAACAUAUUACCGAAGCUGUGGACUACACCAUUAGGUGUAGUGGUAGGAGAGCGUUCUAAGGGCGUUGAAGGUCGAUCGUGAGGACGGCUGGAGCGCUUAGAAGUGAGAAUGCCGGUAUGAGUAGCGAAAGACAGGUGAGAAUCCUGUCCACCGUAUGACUAAGGUUUCCUGGGGAAGGCUCGUCCGCCCAGGGUUAGUCGGGACCUAAGCCGAGGCCGAUAGGCGUAGGCGAUGGACAACAGGUUGAUAUUCCUGUACCAGUUGUUUUUGUUUGAGCAAUGGAGGGACGCAGUAGGCUAAGGAAUGCAUGCGAUUGGAAGUGCAUGUCCAAGCAAUGAGUCUUGAGUAGAGUUAAAUGCUUUACUCUCUAAGGACAAGUUGUGACGGGGAGCGAAAUAAUAGUAGCGAAGUUCCUGAUGUCACACUGCCAAGAAAAGCUUCUAGUGAGAAAACAACUGCCCGUACCGUAAACCGACACAGGUAGUCGAGGAGAGUAUCCUAAGGUGAGCGAGCGAACUCUCGUUAAGGAACUCGGCAAAAUGACCCCGUAACUUCGGGAGAAGGGGUGCUGACUUCGGUCAGCCGCAGUGAAUAGGCCCAAGCGACUGUUUAUCAAAAACACAGGUCUCUGCAAAAUCGUAAGAUGAAGUAUAGGGGCUGACGCCUGCCCGGUGCUGGAAGGUUAAGAGGAUGGGUUAGCUUCGGCGAAGCUCAGAAUUGAAGCCCCAGUAAACGGCGGCCGUAACUAUAACGGUCCUAAGGUAGCGAAAUUCCUUGUCGGGUAAGUUCCGACCCGCACGAAAGGCGUAACGAUUUGGGCACUGUCUCAACGAGAGACUCGGUGAAAUUUUAGUACCUGUGAAGAUGCAGGUUACCCGCGACAGGACGGAAAGACCCCAUGGAGCUUUACUGUAGUUUGAUAUUGAGUGUUUGUACCACAUGUACAGGAUAGGUAGGAGCCGAUGAGACCGGAACGCUAGUUUCGGAGGAGGCGCUGGUGGGAUACUACCCUUGUGUUAUGAACCCUCUAACCCGCACCACUAAUCGUGGUGGGAGACAGUGUCAGAUGGGCAGUUUGACUGGGGCGGUCGCCUCCUAAAAGGUAACGGAGGCGCCCAAAGGUUCCCUCAGAAUGGUUGGAAAUCAUUCGAAGAGUGUAAAGGCAGAAGGGAGCUUGACUGCGAGACCUACAAGUCGAGCAGGGACGAAAGUCGGGCUUAGUGAUCCGGUGGUUCCGCAUGGAAGGGCCAUCGCUCAACGGAUAAAAGCUACCCUGGGGAUAACAGGCUUAUCUCCCCCAAGAGUCCACAUCGACGGGGAGGUUUGGCACCUCGAUGUCGGCUCGUCGCAUCC
rnacentral:rRNA from 1 species